rnacentral:sRNA from 1 species
GGGUUACUCCUUGGCGCUUGCGCGCUGUUUUGAUGAAGAUUCGCACCUCUAUCAAAACGGGUAACCCCGCCUCUUGGCAAGGCCUUACUGUCAGAUCAAGUCUGAACUUCUACAAUUGUAGCGACGCCGCCAUUGCUCAAUGACGACCUUGGCCUCGAGCCGUGUCCGAAACCACUCCAGGCUCAGACAUUCGUCCCUGAACUUGCCG